rnacentral:antisense_RNA from 1 species
AGUCAUGGUUGCUAUUCCUUCAUAAUAGUAAUUGUGAUCAGCGGUGCGGGUGUGCGCCAACACAUUCGCACCGCGCU